rnacentral:rRNA from 1 species
UAGGGAAUCUUCGGCAAUGGACGAAAGUCUGACCGAGCAACGCCGCGUGAGUGAAGAAGGUUUUCGGAUCGUAAAACUCUGUUGUUAGAGAAGAACAAGGACGUUAGUAACUGAACGUCCCCUGACGGUAUCUAACCAGAAAGCCACGGCUAACUACGUGCCAGCAGCCGCGGUAAUACGUAGGUGGCAAGCGUUGUCCGGAUUUAUUGGGCGUAAAGCGAGCGCAGGCGGUUUCUUAAGUCUGAUGUGAAAGCCCCCGGCUCAACCGGGGAGGGUCAUUGGAAACUGGGAGACUUGAGUGCAGAAGAGGAGAGUGGAAUUCCAUGUGUAGCGGUGAAAUGCGUAGAUAUAUGGAGGAACACCAGUGGCGAAGGCGGCUCUCUGGGCUGUAACUGACGCUGAGGCUAGAAAGGGUGGGGAGCAAACAGG